rnacentral:rRNA from 1 species
UACGUAGGUGGCGAGCGUUUGUCCGGAUUUAUUGGGCGUAAAGCGCGCGCAGGCGGUCGCGUAAGUCUGCUGUGAAAUCUCCCUGGCUCAACCGGGAGGGGGCGGCGGAGACUGCGGGACUGGAGGGACCUAGAGGCCGGUGGAAUUCCCGGUGUAGUGGUGAAAUGCGUAGAGAUCGGGGAGGAACACCUGUGGCGGAAGGCG